UGCUCUGCCCCUCCAGGCGCGGGGCGGGGCGCGCGCUCGCUCCCUCUCUCUCUUCCCCUCCCCUUUCCCCGGGCUCUAAAGCCCGGCCGCCCGCGAGCGCCGGGCGGGCAGUGCGAGCUCGUCCCCCCGCAGCAGCGCAGCAGCCGCCCGGCUCCGGGCUGCAGCUGUUGUUGCCAUGAUGAUGAUGUCACGGACGUAACCAUUGAGGGAAUGCGGGGGGGGGAGGAGGUGCGUUUCUCCCCCCUCCCCUCCUUAGCGCACCCGCCUCCCCCGCCCCGUGCUGCCGGUGGGCGUGGGGGAAACCCUCCCAGCGCUGUAUCUUCCCUCCCCUCGGUGUUUCGGUGAUCGGCCACCCGGGCUGUGGAACGCCGAGCGGCGGAUGAGCCGGGCUGGGAGCGCUGCCGGGACGCGCUGGGGUUAAGCUGGGUCGGCCGCCAUUUUGGAUGCGAGGCCGCCUCGCCUCGGGAAGGUCUGGCUGUUGUCUCCUAUCAGAACAUCCCACCAGCGAACGCGUGUACAGGAAAACGCAUAACUUAUUUAAAAAUCUAGAGGAAAGAGUUCUAUCCCAUCAGCUUCAGAAACAGACGUUCAACAUGGUAGGAAACAAGCUGAGCCUCAGUUACCCAAGACAACCAAUUCCUUUAGCAGAAAGAGUGUCUUCUGUCAUCAGAA